GAAUAGCUCGCUAAGUUGAAAACCCGAAAGGGCGGCUUAGGCAAAAAUGAGCGUCUCGGUGGAGAACCCGCAAGGGUGAUCCAGGCAAAAGUUAGAGACAUGGAAAAAAGUAUAUUUGCAUCCCGCUAGAUUGAGUACCUCACCCUGGGGCAAUCUAGGCAAAAAUUAGGGAUUUGGCAAGGAACUGCAUCCUGACAAGAUUUUC
rnacentral:lncRNA from 1 species